GUAGGGUGCAAGCGUUAAUCGGAAUNACUGGGCGUAAAGCGUGCGCAGGCGGUCCGCUAAGACAGAUGUGAAAUCCCCGGGCUUAACCUGGGAACUGCAUUUGUGACUGGCGGGCUAGAGUAUGGCAGAGGGGGGUAGAAUUCCACGUGUAGCAGUGAAAUGCGUAGAGAUGUGGAGGAAUACCGAUGGCGAAGGCAGCCCCCUGGGCCAAUACUGACGCUCAUGCACGAAAGCGUGGGGAGCAAACAGGAUUAGAUACCCUGGUAGUCCACGCCNUAAACGAUGANUGCUAGUNGUCGGGUUNNNUGNGAUUNGGUGACNNACCUAACGNAUUAAGCUUUCCGCCUGGGGAGU
rnacentral:rRNA from 1 species